UGAUAUUGAUGGAUUAGAGAUUGCAUUAUUUGAUUUUGCGCGUAGUAAUUGCCACCCAUUAUAAAUAAAUACAAAUCAAUCUAAUCUAUAUCAUGUAUAUCAGUGUAUAGACAGCGUGUGUGUGUGUGUGUGUGUGUGUGUUUGUCAA